GACGAACGCUGGCGGCAUGCCUAAUACAUGCAAGUCGAGCGAACAGAUGAAGUGCUUGCACUUCUGACGUUAGCGGCGAACGGGUGAGUAACACGUAAGGAAUCUACCUAUAAGCGGGGGAUAACAUUCGGAAACGGGUGCUAAUACCGCAUAAUAUCUUCUUCCGCAUGGAAGAAGAUUGAAAGACGGCUCUGCUGUCACUUAUAGAUGACCUUGCGGUGCAUUAGUUAGUUGGUGGGGUAACGGCCUACCAAGACGAUGAUGCAUAGCCGACCUGAGAGGGUGAUCGGCCACAUUGGGACUGAGACACGGCCCAAACUCCUACGGGAGGCAGCAGUAGGGAAUCUUCCGCAAUGGGCGAAAGCCUGACGGAGCAAUGCCGCGUGAGUGAAGAAGGCCUUCGGGUCGUAAAACUCUGUUAUAAGAGAAGAACAAAUUGUAGAGUAACUGCUACAGUCUUGACGGUAGCUUAUCAGAAAGCCACGGCUAACUACGUG
rnacentral:rRNA from 1 species